GGAAGAAUUCCAGGAGCUGCAGCUUGUUCUAAAGUCUCAAACAUUUUUGCCACAGGACCAGAUACGUCCAUUAAUUUAUCUUGACAAGGUUUUAGUGAUCUGUCAAGUCCUUUACUUGGGUUCUUGAUUUUGUUACAAAUUGCACAAUAGUGGAAUCUAGAUCAGGGGUCUGUGCGACUUUCUUAGACAAAGUCGGUCUAGGGCAUUCAGCUCUUGGC